AUUGAACGCUGGCGGCAUGCCUUACACAUGCAAGUCGAACGGUAACAGGUUAAGCUGACGAGUGGCGAACGGGUGAGUAAUGUAUCGGAACGUGCCCAGUCGUGGGGGAUAACUGGUCGAAAGAGCAGCUAAUACCGCAUACGACCUGAGGGUGAAAGCGGGGGAUCGCAAGACCUCGCGCGAUUGGAGCGGCCGAUAUCAGAUUAGGUAGUUGGUGAGGUAAAGGCUCACCAAGCCGACGAUCUGUAGCUGGUCUGAGAGGACGACCAGCCACACUGGGACUGAGACACGGCCCAGACUCCUACGGGAGGCAGCAGUGGGGAAUUUUGGACAAUGGGCGCAAGCCUGAUCCAGCCAUGCCGCGUGCGGGAAGAAGGCCUUCGGGUUGUAAAGCGCUUUUGUCAGGGAAGAAAAGGUUCUGGCUAAUACCUGGGACUCAUGACGGUACCUGAAGAAUAAGCACCGGCUAACUACGUG
rnacentral:rRNA from 1 species